CAAGUCGAGCGAACGGACGAGAAGCUUGCUUCUCUGAUGUUAGCGGCGGACGGGUGAGUAACACGUGGAUAACCUACCUAUAAGACUGGGAUAACUUCGGGGAACCGGAGCUAAUACCGGAUAAUAUUUUGAACCGCAUGGUUCAAAAGUGAAAGACGGUCUUGCUGUCACUUAUAGAUGGAUCCGCGCUGCAUUAGCUAGUUGGUAAGGUAACGGCUUACCAAGGCAACGAUGCAUAGCCGACCUGAGAGGGUGAUCGGCCACACUGGAACUGAGACACGGUCCAGACUCCUACGGGAGGCAGCAGUAGGGAAUCUUCCGCAAUGGGCGAAAGCCUGACGGAGCAACGCCGCGUGAGUGAUGAAGGUCUUCGGAUCGUAAAACUCUGUUAUUAGGGAAGAACAUAUGUGUAAGUAACUGUGCACAUCUUGACGGUACCUAAUCAGAAAGCCACGGCUAACUACGUGCCAGCAGCCGCGGUAAUACGUAGGUGGCAAGCGUUAUCCGGAAUUAUUGGGCGUAAAGCGCGCGUAGGCGGUUUUUUAAGUCUGAUGUGAAAGCCCACGGCUCAACCGUGGAGGGUCAUUGGAAACUGGAAAACUUGAGUGCAGAAGAGGAAAGUGGAAUUCCAUGUGUAGCGGUGAAAUGCGCAGAGAUAUGGAGGAACACCAGUGGCGAAGGCGACUUUCUGGUCUGUAACUGACGCUGAUGUGCGAAAGCGUGGGGAUCAAACGGGA
rnacentral:rRNA from 1 species